GACGAACGCUGGCGGCGUGCCUAAUACAUGCAAGUCGAACGCAGUGGGGACGGGUGAGUAACACGUGGGUAACCUCCCAUCAGAGGGGAUAACACUUGUAAACAGGUGCUAAACCGAUACUGAUGGAUGGACCCGCGGUGCAUUAGCUAGUUGGUGGGGUAAAGGCUCACCUAGGCGACGAUCUCUAGCUGGUCUGAGAGGAUGAUCAGCACCUCUGGAACUAGGACACGGCCCAGACUCCGACGGGAGGCAGCAGUGGGGAAUAUUGGACAAUGGGCGCAAGCCUGAUGAAACCAUGCCGCGGGGAUGAAGAAGGCCUUAGGGUUGUAAAGUACUUUCAGCGGGGAGGCGUUACCCGCAGAAGAAGCACCGGCUAACUCCGUGCCAGCCGCCGCGGUAAUAC
rnacentral:rRNA from 1 species